rnacentral:rRNA from 1 species
CUGGCGGCAGGCCUAACACAUGCAAGUCGAGCGGAUGAGUGGAGCUUGCUCCAUGAUUCAGCGGCGGACGGGUGAGUAAUGCCUAGGAAUCUGCCUGGUAGUGGGGGACAACGUUUCGAAAGGAACGCUAAUACCGCAUACGUCCUACGGGAGAAAGUGGGGGAUCUUCGGACCUCACGCUAUCAGAUGAGCCUAGGUCGGAUUAGCUAGUUGGUGAGGUAAAGGCUCACCAAGGCGACGAUCCGUAACUGGUCUGAGAGGAUGAUCAGUCACACUGGAACUGAGACACGGUCCAGACUCCUACGGGAGGCAGCAGUGGGGAAUAUUGGACAAUGGGCGAAAGCCUGAUCCAGCCAUGCCGCGUGUGUGAAGAAGGUCUUCGGAUUGUAAAGCACUUUAAGUUGGGAGGAAGGGCAGUAAGUUAAUACCUUGCUGUUUUGACGUUACCAACAGAAU